rnacentral:misc_RNA from 1 species
GUGUGUGUAACUGGUUCGGCACCAGUUUGGUACGGCCAAUGGGGGGUGGGGGAGUGUCGUCGCUGCACCGGUUUCAACAGCCUAACGUCGUUAGUCAACCGGGUGAUAGUUUAGGGUAUAUAAUGGCUAGUAAGGCUGCACUAAGCCGAACCGAGAGGUUCGAGCCUUCGGCGAGUGUACAUAAGUCGCCAAAGUAUGUAAAGUCACCAGCCAGCGUGACGGACGCUGUCCUGCUGGGUGAGAUCGACAUAAUGACCGACGACGAGGUUGAAAUAUCGACUGAAGAACCUGUACCAAAAAAGUGUUACUUUGGGGGAACGACCUACACCCAUAGUCAAACGAUACCAACGAGUGAUCCGUGUUCGCAUUGCCUCUGCGUUGCCGGUGAAGUUUAUUGCUGGUGGCAGGACUGCCUUCUCCACUCGGAACCGGAAGACUUUGAGAACUUUGACGGAAGCUUAAAGAGCACCGAGAUUCCGGGGGCUUUUUUAAGCGUAAACUCGUCCCUCGGUACUGCUGCGACCUUAGAAGCGGAUGACAACGAAACAAUGACAACUGAGAGUUCGGAAUUAGCGGCUCAAAUCAUCGAAGAAGAGGGAUACAUGGAUGUAAAUUCAACAUAUCAAGACUUUGGCACCCAGAGCACACUUCCGACGACCUGCGUCGUUAUGGGUGUGGAGUACAAGGAAGGUGAAGCGCUGCCACAUUCGACCGGAAAUUGCGUGCAAUGCGGCUGCGGAGCCGCUGGUCGGGUCGAAUGUUCCCCGCAGGACUGCGUCCCGCUAUUGCAGCCUCCUUCAGGAGCUGGGGUCGAUCUAUCCAGAGGAAUGGACGAGAUUUUUUAGACAGGAUUUUGGCGGUUUGAUGAUGAUGAUGAGAGAUUUUAAACCGUGAAGAAAUCAGCAUUCAAUAUGCGGCAGAAUAUGAAAUCUGUAUGGAAAAUUCAACAUUGCAGCCACUGAAACAAAUUUGUGGAUAAAUGAUACGAGAAUUUGAAUUUCACUAAUAUUGAGUGUGCACAGGUAUAAUACGCAUAAUGAAACGUAUUUAAAAAUCUGAUGAAAAUAAAUGUUAAAACCUAGUCUAAUAAUAUGCGAUACACAUACUGAUACAUACGUAAAUACCUAAAUAGAUAAUUCGUAGAGUGUAGAAACGUCUAGCCUAGAUUUUUUUAACAUCAGGAAAAAAAACAAGAAAAAAAAACGACAUAAAGAUGAAACGAAAAAGAAAAACGAGACAAGUGCAGGAUAAUAUGAUCGAAUUUUUAGAAAAUCCUUUUGACUUUUGACUUUUGAGACCUGUAGCAUGUAUUAUAAUAUUAUACAUACGUAUGUAAUAUGAUCGAUGCGAAUGAAAAUUUUACCCAUAUCAUGAUCCCAUAUCGUAAUUUACCUAUCGUGUGCAAUACGCAUUUACGUAUACAUAUAAUAUACAUGUGUAACAAAAACAUGUUAUGCGGUAUGUCUAGUAUUAUAUUGAAUUAUGUUUACGAAUUAGUGUUUACUUGAUCCAAAAUAGUUUGAAUAGAUUUGAAUAUUUAUAACAUAUCUGCAUUUUGUUUCAUGGUUAACUUCGUUAUUAUAUUUAUAGUUGCUGCGAACGCCGCAUGAACUCUGUAAUAAUAACCAUUAUCAUUUUAUGAUCGAAAUACUCGUUGGAAAGUUAACUUCAGACAUUAAAUUUAAAGAAUAAUUAUAUGUAUACAAUAAUGAUAACAUUACGAGUAUAUUAUAGUACCAACAUAACAAAGUUGUAUUAGAAAUUUACAUUCAUUAUAUAGUGUUAAAUAUAUAUAUUAUAUAUAUUGAUAUAAUAGCAUAUUAUAAAUAUAUACAGACAUACUGAGAACCAACUAUCAAUAAUAAUAAUUAAAUUAACAGUAAUAACGAUGAAAGAUAAUUAACUAUUGGUUGCAUGAAGUAGAUCAGCCUGGGUAUUUUUUUCCAUCCAACUUUACCAAAUUCUUAAUUGCAAUUAACUCGAUGAAUUUUCAUACUAUAGAAGGAAAUAAAUUAUUCGGCGGAAAAUUGUUACAGCUCUGAAAUGCCUACCGAUAUGAUAAAACAUUACUGAUCCGUUUCAUGCGAAAUAUUCAUAUACUCAAUAAAUAUACGUACACAGAAAAGUAUUAUAGUAUUUGGUGUGUAGAAAAAUGGAUAGGUGUAAUAACAUUAUAAAAUGGAAGUUAUAAAGUAUAUACACUAUAUUAUAUAAUAAUUCAUCAAUAUCAAAAUGACUAUCGUGGAUGAAAGAAAUCAUACAUACACAUAUGUUACAUACACACGUAUGAAACAUUAUCGUAAUAUGUACAUUUACAUAUUAUAAUACAUGACGUUGAAUGUUGUAGAGAACAGGAAACCUAGUAAAAUACCAAAGUAUUCGAUAGGUAGACUCAAAUGUGAUAUAUACACACACUACUUGCCACGAGAAAAAAAAAAAAAACGAAAAGGGAAGAAAAAAAAGAAUAACUUUUAUCUGACAAUUUACAAAUCUGAUCAUUAGCGUCUAUAACUAUAUACACCUACGC